rnacentral:lncRNA from 1 species
GAAGACAAAGACAAGAGGAGAGAGAAGUGAGAGAAGUGAGAGAAGGCCAGUGAAAUGUGUGAUUUGUCUGAGGACUUCUCUUAAUCUGGCACCAGAAGAUGCUUGCAGAGAAAUAUUUGAGAUCUACUUGACAUGUGAACUGGAUCAUACUUCUGUGUAACCUGGUAAAGAAUACAGAGUAAGAGAAAUGUUAUUCCAAAGAGGAGGAGAGUAAGUGUAUCAGAAAAGUACGUCCUGGGAAGCCUGAAAAGUACAAAAAAGGGUGUGGCGUGGCCUCUGGGUUGUCCAGCCUCUGGUUCCUAGAAAUCUAGGUAGUGUCAGUCAUGGACUCCAUCUCAUAACAUGGACCUCAAAUUUGACCAGUGAUUGGUUGUCCACUAUCACAAGUUCUGCUCCAUCAUUAUGCCAGCACAUCUUAGAGAUGAGAAAAGAAGCAGAGGCCCCACAGAGAAUGUCCAAGCUGGAGGUUUCAAUCAAAUCCCUUCCCUCAGAAUCUGGGAAUCCUGUGGAAGAGGAAGAAGAAAAACUCUGAGAACCAAGAGGGAUGAAAAACAUUAGGACAAUAAGACUCUCUGAAUCAACUAAGCAAUAUGCAAACGAGCAGCCUCAAGUCUCCAGAGGUUAGGAGCACAUUGUGUCUUCUCUCACUGAGGUCAGACCAGGGAGUCUUCUGCUGUAUAUGUGCAGGGGCUUUGGACCAGCUAUUGAAUGCUGCCUAGUUGGUGACUCAGUGUCUGAGAGAUCUUAGAUGUCCAGGUUAGUUGACACUGCUGGUCUUCUGGGAGUCCAGACCAUGAGAAUGAAUGGGUCUAUGACUCUUGUUCCUGCUUUUGGGAAUUUUUUUUUCCUGUUGGGCUGCUGUGUCCAUAUAACAGCUUAUUUUACUACAUCUUAUUUAUUUUCAUUUUGUCGUUUGCUAUAUCUUAGAAGCCUGUUCUUUCUUUUCUAAUUAGAAAGGAGUAGAUCCAUGAGGAGGGAGAGGUGAAGAGCAACAUGGAUGAGUAGAGGGAGGGGAAUCUACAGUCAGGAUAUAUUGAAUGAUGAAAGAAUCUACUUUCAACAAAAGAAAAAAUAUAAAAAUAAAACAAAAUGAAAUUGAUUCUAAGAAUAUGACGCUAUCUUACACAAAAUUAACCUAUUUCCCCCAAAGUAAUUUGCAUUUUAAUUUUAAAAUGGGAAUUAUAGAAUUUAAUUGAUCCAUUGGAAAAAGAGACAGUAAAAAAA